rnacentral:ncRNA from 1 species
UCACAAAAAGCAACGCUUUUUGAACGUUGGCUCUGCCAACGGCUCCGAAGGAGCGAGUAAAUCUUCAGGAUUUACGAGUAAUAUUUG